rnacentral:rRNA from 1 species
UUUGUCGCGUCUGCUGUGAAAAUCUGAGGCUCAACCUCGGACUUGCAGUGGGUACGGGCAGACUAGAGUGCGGUAGGGGAGAAGGGAAUUCCUGGUGUAGCGGUGGAAUGCGCAGAUAUCAGGAGGAACACCAAUGGCGAAGGCACUUCUCUGGGCCGUAACUGACGCUGAGGAGCGAAAGCGUGGGGAGCGAACAGGAUUAGAUACCCUGGUAGUCCACGCCGUAAACGUUGGGCGCUAGAUGUGGGUCACAUUCCACGUGAUCCGUGUCGCAGCUAACGCAUUAAGCGCCCCGCCUGGGGAGUACGGCCGCAAGGCUAAAACUCAAAGGAAUUGACGGGGGCCCGCACAAGCGGCGGAGCAUGCGGAUUAAUUCGAUGCAACGCGAAGAACCUUACCAAGGCUUGACAUGUAGAGGAAAACUGCAGAAAUGUAGUCCCCCGCAAGGGUCUCUAUGCAGGUGGUGCAUGGUUGUCGUCAGCUCGUGUCGUGAGAUGUUGGGUUAAGUCCCGCAACGAGCGCAACCCUCGUCCUAUGUUGCCAGCACGUAAAGGUGGGAACUCAUGGGAGACUGCCGGGGUCAACUCGGAGGAAGGUGGGGAUGACGUCAAAUCAUCAUGCCCCUUAUGUCUUGGGCUUCACGCAUGCUACAAUGGCCGGUACAAAGGGCUGCAAUACCGUAAGGUGGAGCGAAUCCCAAAAAGCCGGUCUCAGUUCGGAUUGAGGUCUGCAACUCGACCUCAUGAAGUCGGAG